GAGGGUAUAGCUCAGUGGUAGAGUGUAUGUUUAGCAUGCACAAGGUCCUGGGUUUAAUCGCCAGUACCUCCA
rnacentral:tRNA from 1 species